rnacentral:rRNA from 1 species
UACGUAGGGUGCAGGCGUUACUCGGAAUUACUGGGCGUAAAGCGUGCGCAGGCGGUGAUGUAAGACAGGGGUGAAAUCCCCGGGCUUAACCUGGGAACUGCAUUUGUGACUGCAUCGCUGGAGUGCGGCAGAGGGGGAUGGAAUUCCGCGUGUAGCAGUGAAAUGCGUAGAUAUGCGGAGGAACACCGAUGGCGAAGGCAAUCCCCUGGGCCUGCACUGACGCUCAUGCACGAAAGCGUGGGGAGCAAACAGG